rnacentral:misc_RNA from 1 species
GACAGUAUGCUGUACAUACCAGAUGUUCCAAAAAUAACUACAGACAACAAUAAUGAAUUUCACCGGAGAAUAGCAGUGAUGACUAGAGAACAUCUUGAACGUGAGUACCAGAAAGCACGUGCUGCAAUGAUACAAAGAAAUGAGUACUUGAAGAGACUCUUAAACGUGGAGGAACCAAACUCAAUAAAGGUGACAAACAAGAAACAGAAAAAAGAUAACAUACAGGAUGUAUCACACAUUAAUUCAAAACAAAGACCAGCUGCACCCCAAUCUGAUGUACUUGCUGCAGAACUUGAACAAAUUAAAGAUUCUCAGCCAAGUGUUUCUGACUGGCAAAAAAGAAGAAAAAAUGCAGAGAUUAAUUGGGGAGAAAGCAGGGCAAUGCUGUUCGAUUGGACAUUGUCUGAGUUGGGUGUUCCAGAUAAAGGUAAAUUAAAUAUUGCUGUGUUCAUUAAGGUUAUACUGUAUAAUAAGCAUCAUAUGCAUAUUAAUGACACUCUAUUAAUACAUUUAGACUUCAGAUUGUUUAAAAUGUUAGGUAUACAGUAUUUAAAAUUAGUAUAAAUAAUUACCCCUUUUUUCAUCAGGUAAAGUUUGUGUACAAUGUACAAAUUGUGAGGCAAGCAUCAAAUGUGAAGACUGUUUUGCAUUUUUGUGUCACAUUUGUGACCAAAUGCAACAUUUUCUCAUGCCUUUCCACCACAGAUUAUAUUGGAAAAAUGGCUUUUAUGAGCCAUUAGACCCGACACAAACUGUGUGCCCUGAAGGAAAUAUCUUUCACUGGAAACCUGUUGUACCAGCCCAACCACCAAAUUCUUU